UUACGGCCAUAUCACGUUGAAACACUGGUUCUGCUACGACCACCGAAGUCAAGCAACGUCGAGCCUGGUCAGUACCUACAUGGGUGACCACAUGUGAAUAUCAGGUUCUGUA